rnacentral:rRNA from 1 species
UACGUAGGUGGCAAGCGUUGUCCGGAUUUACUGGGUGUAAAGGGCGCGUAGGCGGCCACCGCAAGUCGGUUGUGAAAUCUCUGGGCUUAACCCAGAAAGGUCAACCGAUACUGCGGGGCUAGAGUGCAGAAGGGGCAACUGGAAUUCUCGGUGUAGCGGUGAAAUGCGUAGAUAUCGAGAGGAACACCUGCGGCGAAGGCGGGUUGCUGGGCUGACACUGACGCUGAAGCGCGAAAGCUAGGGGAGCGAACGGG